GACGAACGCUGGCGGCGUGCUUAACACAUGCAAGUCGAACGAUGAACCGGGUGCUUGCACUUGGGGAUUAGUGGCGAACGGGUGAGUAACACGUGAGUAACCUGCCCUGGACUCUGGGAUAACCCCGAGAAAUCGGAGCUAAUACCGGAUAGGACCUUUCCUCGCAUGAGGUUUGGUGGAAAGUUUUUCGGUCUGGGAUGGACUCGCGGCCUAUCAGCUUGUUGGUGAGGUAAUGGCUCACCAAGGCGUCGACGGGUAGCCGGCCUGAGAGGGUGACCGGCCACACUGGGACUGAGACACGGCCCAGACUCCUACGGGAGGCAGCAGUGGGGAAUAUUGCACAAUGGGCGCAAGCCUGAUGCAGCAACGCCGCGUGCGGGAUGACGGCCUUCGGGUUGUAAACCGCUUUUAGUAGGGAAGAAGGGCUUCGGCUUGACGGUACCUGCAGAAAAAGGACCGGCUAACUACGUGCCAGCCGCCGCGGUAAUAC
rnacentral:rRNA from 1 species